rnacentral:rRNA from 1 species
UUCGGUGGGGAAGAGUGGCGAACGGGUGAGUAACACGUGGGCAAUCUGCCCUGCACUCUGGGAUAACUCCGGGAAACCGGAGCUAAUACCGGAUACGACUCUCCAGGGCAUCCUGGGGGGUGGAAAGCUCCGGCGGUGCAGGAUGAGCCCGCGGCCUAUCAGCUGGUUGGUGGGGUAACGGCCCACCAAGGCGACGACGGGUAGCCGGCCUGAGAGGGCGACCGGCCACACUGGGACUGAGACACGGCCCAGACUCCUACGGGAGGCAGCAGUGGGGAAUAUUGCACAAUGGGCGCAAGCCUGAUGCAGCGACGCCGCGUGAGGGAUGACGGCCUUCGGGUUGUAAACCUCUUUCAGCAGGGAAGAAGCGCGAGUGACGGUACCUGCAGAAGAAGCACCGGCUAACUACGUGCCAGCAGCCGCGGUAAUACGUAGGGUGCGAGCGUUGUCCGGAAUUAUUGGGCGUAAAGAGCUCGUAGGCGGCCUGUCGCGUCGGAUGUGAAAGCCCGGGGCUUAACCCCGGGUCUGCAUUCGAUACGGGCAGGCUAGAGUUCGGUAGGGGAGAUCGGAAUUCCUGGUGUAGCGGUGAAAUGCGCAGAUAUCAGGAGGAACACCGGUGGCGAAGGCGGAUCUCUGGGCCGAUACUGACGCUGAGGAGCGAAAGCGUGGGGAGCGAACAGGAUUAGAUACCCUGGUAGUCCACGCCGUAAACGUUGGGCACUAGGUGUGGGCGGCAUUCCACGUCGUCCGUGCCGCAGCUAACGCAUUAAGUGCCCCGCCUGGGGAGUACGGCCGCA